GCCCCUGUAGCUCAGUAGAUAGAGCGGCGAGCUUCUACCUCGCGGGUCGGGAGUGCAACUCUCUCCAGGGGUGCUA
rnacentral:tRNA from 1 species